rnacentral:rRNA from 1 species
GAACAAAAAAUCCUCCGAAAGAUAUAUAACAUAGACCUAUAAGUCAAAGUAUACCAAUUAUCCAAUUGACCCAAAAAUUGAUCAACGGACCAAGUUACCCUAGGGAUAACAGCGCAAUCCUAUUUAAGAGUCCAUAUCGACAAUAGGGUUUACGACCUCGAUGUUGGAUCAGGACAUCCCAAUGGUGCAGAAGCUAUUAAUGGUUCGUUUGUUCAACGAUUAAAGUCCUACGUGAUCUGAGUUCAGACCGGAGAA